AAGAAGUUGUUGUGCGUUGUGGGCCAAAUGAAAUUUGGGCCCAAAACAAAAUAACCUGUCGUGCCCAGUUGCUCCUGUUGCUAACCCUAGCCGCCGCCUGUGUCACACUCACAACUCCCGUUGUUACUUGUUCCUCUCCUCGCCCUUUGUCCAGCAGCAGCCGCCGAGGGACCGAGGACCGUCCCCGGCCGAGACGAGGACGCUGCUGCUCCUCCUCCUGGUCGAGACGAGGAUGCUGCUGCUCCUGGCGCUGUUCGGCUCUCCAGUCUCCAUCGCAAUCGGCUCUCCAAGUCUCCAUCGCGAUCUCCACGGUUGGGCGCCUGGGCGGACACGCACGGGAGGCCGCAGCUCUUUGCUUGGGACGAGGAGUAGCUCGAGGAGCAGCUCGAGGGGUGAGGAUUCAGUUUUUCAGGGCUCAGGUUCUACCAUGAGCAGACGGAGAGCGCUGGCAGAACAUUUGCCUCCACAAGAUGAUGCUGAAAUUGAGGAACCAGUGGUAGAGGAUCAUGCAAGAGAUGAUGUUGAAGAUGAUGGUGGAGAUGAUGGUGGAGAUGAUGCUGGAGACGAUGCUGGGGAUUCUGGGGCUGGUGGAGAUUCCGCAGCUGGGUCUGGAACUUCUCGAGUUAGGAGAAUGAGGAAGCUGCAUUUUGUUGGACCACCUCCAGAGCUUCCACCCGAAUCUCGGGUUUUGAUAAAGCCUAGUGGAAAGUCUUGGAUCGACGACUCGUUCACAGGCACAGGACACUACAGGCAGGUGAACAUGGUGCUUGGUAAUCUUGUUCGUCUGCACUGGCCUGGUGUUGUGACUUUGCCUACUGGCGAGUCUGUCCCCGCCACCACUUGGGAGCAUUAUCGCUAUGGUGUCUGUAGAACGUUUGGCAACACACAGGCACUAGUUUGGGAUGCAUUCUGGAAACGGUACAAGUUGCCGGACGAUGGAUCAUAUGAUAUGAACGCUCGUUACGUGUUUGAGUAUAACGCGAACGAUGUCGUUGCAGAUGCAAUGUACUAUGCACGAAUUCAGGCUAUAAAGGCAUGGUACAGAGCAAAUGCUGAUGAUCGACCGAUGCCAAAUACCAAGGCCGAGUGGUCAUCAAUUUACUUGACGGAGGAGCAAUACCUAGAGGUGUCGGUGCCGUGGAUGGCCACCCGAUCGGAGGGUUAUCGGGCAUUGUGCAGAUGGUGGGCUUCCCCUGAGUUUCGUGCCAUUUCCGAAAGGAACAGGGGAAACCGUGGGACCGAGUCGUUCCACAACUACGGUGGUGAUGGUCAUGUGCGCUUGGCUAAGCGAAUGGAAGUCAAAUUCGGUCGUACGCCCACGGAUGUGGAGGUGUAUAUGCAAGGGCAUAGGGGUUCUGAUCCUCAGAAUCCUGAUGUGUUAUGCACUCAGACGGCCACCGACCGUCUAGCUUCGUAUGGGGAGGAGAUGGUUCAACGCCAUGGGCAGGAGUACGAUUGGAGGAGCCAGCCAAUCGACCCUCAGGCAGCAUAUGCUAGCGGAGGAGGACAAGCCCACGGACGGUUGGGUAUUUUUGAUUCUACGAUUGAUUCCAGAGAGCUAAGACGCCGUGGACGACAGUCCACAUCGUCGUCUUCACAGUCGUCCCGUUCACGAUCAUCCGCCCACGACAUGGAGAUGGCAGUGUUGCGUCAACAGGCAGAGUACCAUCAAUCAGUCUUGAGGGAACAAUUGGAGUACCAGAGGCAACAAUCUGAGUACCAGAGGCAACAAGCCGAGUACCAGAAGAAGAGGGACGAGUAUUAUGCAAACCUCCAGGCCCAAAAUCAAGCUCUUCUCUCGCAACUAGCCCAACAAGCGGGCGUCCCGAUGCCGACAUAUGGGAUGCCGCCUCCGGAGUUUGCACUGCCAAUGCCAAUGUUGGCGCCUCCACCACCGCCUCCGCCUCCGUCACAAUUCCCUAUGGGAUUUCAGACACCACCCGCUUCAGUUGCCGCACCUGGAGAUGGGUCUGGUCAGGACGACCCAACACAUUCGUGGGUGAACAAUCUUUUCAGCACGCAUAGUCCAGCCGGAGGAGGUGGCGAUGGAUAUGAGUGAUACUGAUGUAAAACACUUGUUGAAACCUUUCAUGUGAAAGCCUACCCGUCGAAUAAUGUUCAUUUUGGAGUUUGGACAACUAUGUUUAUGUAAACACUUAUUGCAACCAUUUGGAACUAUGUUGUUAUGUUAAAUUUUGUGAAUGUGAAUGCUUAUGUGAUUAUAUUUGUGAAUGUGUAUACUUAUGUGAGUAUAUUUGUUAA
rnacentral:misc_RNA from 1 species